rnacentral:lncRNA from 1 species
AUGAUUAGAAAUUGGAUAAAUCACUAGCUGUUGUUUAUGAAAUUUGCUGGUGCUCUAUGUAAAAAAAAGAAGAAGCCAGAUUGGUCUCCAUUCCAUGAUAAUGUUCAAUGUGUUUGCUUUGUCUAUCUUCAUGCCAGAUUUCAAUGUUUAAUUCAAAAAUCAUAUGAAGUUGGUCAUGAUCAUGGUCAUAUUCACUGUACAAAGAACAAUUUCUGAUUUCAUAGUAAUGAUUGGUGAUGUUCCAGCGUGUAUCUUUAGGAAAUAGUUUGAGAAUUUAUAAAAUUAGAUUGGGUUCAAAGUUGUUAUAACAUAAACAACAUUUUAAGUUACAGUUGGUGGGGAAGGAGAUUGAUUAUGAUCUGUAUUGCACCUAAGAAAACGUCAGGAACUGCUGUUCCUACAAUGAAUAACAGAAAUUGCAAUGUUCUGGGCUAGCAGAUUUCUUUCUUCUUAAAUUUUGCCCUUAGUGCUUCACUCUAUUGGAUCAGUUGGUCACCUCUAAUAACUUGCUGCAUUGGGAUACUAAACUUGCUGAAAUGACAUAAACCAUGCUUUCAAACUCUACUUUGAUUAUUUUUUCCAGUGGAGAUGAUUGCAAGCAAAAUCUGUGAUUCAUGGUGCGCUAGGAUAUCCAAUCCUUUUUUUUUUCUAAGAGUCAUAUGAAGAAAAUGCGCAAUUAAGUGCACAAUGCUUUAUGCAGCAUUUGAAAGCUAAGAUUUGAUGCUUCUAUAUGUGCAAUCCAUUAUAUUUACCACAUGUUCAUCCUAUUUUACAUCAGCAAGUUUGUCCUUUCCUCACUCUUCUUCUUCUUCGCAUAGGACUCGGUUCCUAUAGAUAAAGAGCAUACAUGAAACAUGCCUUUGGUAAAGAUACUAAAAUAUAUGUAUAAAGUCAUGUUAAUCACAUGAUGAUGACAGGCUUGGCUUGCGCAAAAUUAACCACAUGUUUUGAACAAAAUUUUCAUUUUGUUAGUUUUAAAUGAAUACUUUAGUUGUUUGCUACUUUGAAUAGUCAGAAUACAUUUUUUUUCCUUGCCUGGUUAAUAGCUCCUAUCAGGGUUAUCAAUGCAUUCAUAAAGGCUAAUCAUUGUGUUUUUUUUUUAUAUUCCAUUUAUUUUAUACAUCUAUUCUUGAGAUGUUUGUGCCAAUAUUUUACUCUACAAAUUAUUGUUAUCAUUCAAUUUCUCAACAAAUUGUCCCCUGUAACUCAUUCGAUCAAUUAAAAACAUCUCUCUUAUGUUCACAUCUAUACAUCAUGCUAUAUUUCUCAUAUUUUCUUGCUUAAAGCUACCUAUAUAUAUGUGUGUGUGUCCCACACUUUUCUUUACAGCUUAUUAUAUUAGAGGACUUUAUGACUUCUGACAUAAUUUCUCUAAUUUUUUUUUUAUAGAACUUCAAAAUAAAAUUUUCCAUUGUUAUUAAGUUUUUUCACCUUUUAUCGGUAUACAACAAUUGUAAAAAGAAAAACAAAGAAUAAACAAUGAAAAAAACAGUUUAAUUAUUCUUAUAAUGACACGAUACAAUCAAUGACCCACAGGUUCUUCUCUCAUUAUAUUUUAUGCAAAUUAACAUUAACAUUAAUUAACAAUUAACAAAGAAACUAAAUCAUUUUUUUUGCUUCUGCAUUAUUAAGUAAAUUAGUGGGCCAGUACGCAUUAAAUAUUUUCUAUUUGCUGGCAGCAUACCCUUUGUUUUCUUUUGAAUCUGCAUUGUUAAUUAAAUUAGUGGGUCAAUAUGCAUUAAAUGCAUCCUAUUUGCUGCAGUAUUAAUUAAAUAGGUGGGCCAGUACGCAUUAAAUAUUUUCUAUUUGCUGGCAGCAUACCCUUUGUUUUCUUUUGAAUCUGCAUUGUUAAUUAAAAGUAGUGGGUCAAUAUGCAUUAAAUGCAUCCUAUUUGCUGCAGCAUUAAUUAAAUUAGUGGGCCAGUACGCAUUAAAUAUUUUCUAUUUGCUGGCAGCAUACCCUUUAGUUUCUUUUGAAUCUGCAUUGUUAAUUAAAUGAGUGGGUCAAUAUGCAUUAAAUGCAUCCUAUUUGCUGCAGCAAAUACGCUGCAUAGCAACCAUGCUCAAGGGAGGAUCUCUAGACGUUCUGAUACUACUAUACUAGCCCGACGGCGGGCACUAUCAUCAUGACAUAUAUAUGGUCUCUGUUGUUAAAAUUAUUUUUUUUCAUUGAAGUGCAUCUAAAAAUAUAUUAUAUGCUUUGUCUAUAUCCGGUCUCUGUAUUUCUUUGCCCACCAGUUAUUGCACUCUCUUUUCAUCUUUCUCCAUUGCCUCUCUUGCUGGUUGUUGCACCAUCAGUUUAGUUUUUUUCCCUCUUUUCAUUGCCUCUCUUACUAUUUUUUUUUAGUUUGUUUUUUUAUGCAUCCAUAAUUAAUCUGUGUGGUUCCUUUGUUUUCAGCAGAUUUGUUGAGCUUUUCUAGCCUUCUUUUCGGUUGGGUUGCUGCUUUGUUCACGUUAACGCUUGCUUGCCUUACGCUGCUGGUAUGUGCAUGUAUUAUUGGUCUGCAAGAUUAAUGGUUGUCUUCUUCUUGCUAUGUUGAACUGUGAGACCAGCUUCUCUUUUUUUUUUUUCCAUUUGUUUUUUAACCAACCAGCAAGGGUGUUGCUUGCUAAGAAAUUGUAUUCAAAUUCGUUUCUGCUGUAUUUUCUUCCCUUUUGAUGGUUGUUGAAUUUGUGCUUUAGAUUCCCAUCUUUAUUUAUUUAGCCAAUUCAUGUUGCAAUUUAUAUUUGUUCUUUU